GAUGAACGCUGGCGGCGUGCUUAACACAUGCAAGUCGAACGGUGAACGAGGGAGCUUGCUCCCUCCGGAUCAGUGGCGAACGGGUGAGUAACACGUGAGCAAUCUGCCCUGGACUCUGGGAUAAGCGUUGGAAACGACGUCUAAUACCGGAUACGAGGCGAGGGGGCAUCCCCAACGCCUGGAAAGAACUUCGGUCCAGGAUGAGUUCGCGGCCUAUCAGGUAGUUGGUGAGGUAACGGCUCACCAGGCCGACGACGGGUAGCCGGCCUGAGAGGGUGACCGGCCACACUGGGACUGAGACACGGCCCAGACUCCUACGGGAGGCAGCAGUGGGGAAUAUUGCACAAUGGGCGCAAGCCUGAUGCAGCAACGCCGCGUGAGGGACGACGGCCUUCGGGUUGUAAGCCUCUUUUAGCAGGGAAGAAGCGAAAGUGACGGUACCUGCAGAAAAAGCACCGGCUAACUACGUGCCAGCCGCCGCGGUAAAAC
rnacentral:rRNA from 1 species